GACGAACGCUGGCGGCGUGCUUAACACAUGCAAGUCGAACGAAGUGGCGAACGGGUGAGUAACGCGUAAUCAACCUGCCCUUCAGAGGGGGACAACAGUUGGAAACGACUGCUAAUACCGCAUACUGAAGGAGGGGAUUGCGUGUGAUUAGCUAGGUGGAGGGGGAACGGCCCACCAAGGCGAUGAUCAGUAGCCGGGCGUGGAGGGUGGACGGGCAGAGUGGGACUGGGACCAGGGCCAGAACCCGAAGGGAGGCAGCAGGGGGGGAUCUUCCGAAAUGGAGGGAAGUCUGACGGAGCAACGGCGGGGGAGUGAUGACGGCCUUCGGGGUGGAAAGCUCUGUUAAGCGGGACGCGGUACCGGAAGAGAAAGCCACGGCUAACUACGUGCCAGCAGCCGCGGUAAUAC
rnacentral:rRNA from 1 species